rnacentral:lncRNA from 1 species
AUGGGGUUAAUUUGCUUAAUUCGGGAAAGUUAACUGGGUUAAAGAUGAAGCGGAACGUGCGAGAUGGAUAAGUGAGGUAAUUGGUGAUGUUCAGGACGUUUUUCAAAUCAAGAUGCAGCUUAGAUGUGCGAGAAAUAUAAGAGACUAAAGAAUGAGGGGCACCUCCAUACCAUCGUAGUUGGAGACGAACAGAAGGCAGCAUUUUUGGUUGUGGGGUGCACGCAAAUCGGGAGAGAAAAAAGGGAUUUUUUGGUGACGAUCUUGAAACGCAAUGCGCGGCUAAUCUCCUAGGGUUCACCCCGGUGUAGACUUUGUAAGAUUAUAGGGUUUCAACAUUUGUAUUUUGAUUUGAUUUUGUGACAAAUUGUUUUGUAUUUGAACCUUGGAUAAUUGUCUUGCAUUUGUUUCGAAUUCGUGAAUUGUUGAACGAUGAUAAAGUUAUGACUUUGCGAAAUGGUUAUGUGCAAUUAUGCCUUAUCUUAGGUUAGGAUUUACAUGUCCGAGGUAAU